AAAAUGUCUACCUCACCCUUUGCCUUUUACUUUGUGAAUAGGAUUUUAUGUUGAGAAGUUUUACCAAUUUGGUAUAAAGCCAAUUUUAUAUAAUUAGAAUCUGGAAAAAGUAUGUGUACAGCUUUGUUUAAUAUUCAAGGUUAACUAAUGUUUUUUUCCCCAAUGAAAAAGAUUAAAACCAGUGAUGUAUGGAGCAUCUCAUGUGAUUUCCCUAAGCACAUCCUUUAGAAUAGAGUUUACCAUUUCCCUUUUACCUAGAG